rnacentral:rRNA from 1 species
UACAGAGGGUGCAAGCGUUAAUCGGAAUUACUGGGCGUAAAGCGCGCGUAGGCGGCUUGACAAGUCGAGUGUGAAAUCCCCGGGCUUAACCUGGGAGCUGCAUUCGAAACUGUCUUGCUAGAGUAUGGGAGAGGGAGGUGGAAUUUCAGGUGUAGCGGUGAAAUGCGUAGAUAUCUGAAGGAACAUCAGUGGCGAAAGCGACCUCCUGGACCAAUACUGACGCUCAGGUGCGAAAGCGUGGGGAGCGAACAGG